rnacentral:rRNA from 1 species
AACGAACGCUGGCGGCAUGCCUAACACAUGCGAGUCGAACGAGACCUUCGGGUCUAGUGGCGCACGGGUGCGUAACGCGUGGGAACCUGCCCUUAGGUUCGGAAUAACUCCCCGAAAGGGGUGCUAAUACCGGAUAAUGUCUUCGGACCAAAGAUUUAUCGCCUUUGGAUGGGCCCGCGUUGGAUUAGCUAGUUGGUAGGGUAAAAGCCUACCAAGGUGACGAUCCAUAGCUGGUCUGAGAGGAUGAUCAGCCACACUGGGACUGAGACACGGCCCAGACUCCUACGGGAGGCAGCAGUGGGGAAUAUUGGACAAUGGGCGAAAGCCUGAUCCAGCAAUGCCGCGUGAGUGAUGAAGGCCUUAGGGUUGUAAAGCUCUUUUACCCGGGAUGAUAAUGACAGUACCGGGAGAAUAAGCUCCGGCUAACUCCGUG